rnacentral:rRNA from 1 species
CUUGACCCUAUAAGAGGUCCAGCCUGCCCAGUGACUCUGUUCAACGGCCGCGGUAUCCUAACCGUGCAAAGGUAGCACAAUCACUUGUCUUCUAAAUAAAGACUAGUAUGAAAGGCAUCACGAGGGCUAGACUGUCUCCCCCCUCUAAUCAGUGAACCUAAUCUCCCCGUGAAGAAGCGGGGAUCCACAUAUAAGACGAGAAGACCCUAUGGAGCUUAAAACAAUAUAAUACCUGCUUUUUCCCACCUAUUCAGAUUUUUUACCUCAGCACACUAAUUACAAGUUUUUGGUUGGGGCGACCACGGAGAAAAACCAACCCUCCACAAUGAAAGGAACUUUUUUCCCCAAACAAUAAGUUACAACUUUACAUUUCAAUAAAUUGACAUCCAUUGACCCAAUAAUUGAUCAACGAGC